UACGUAGGGCGCAAGCGUUGUCCGGAAUUAUUGGGCGUAAAGAGCUCGUAGGCGGUUUGUCGCGUCUGCUGUGAAAACCUAAGGCUCAACCUUGGGCUUGCAGUGGGUACGGGGCAGACUAGAGUGCGGUAGGGGUGACUGGAAUUCCUGGUGUAGCGGUGGAAUGCGCAGAUAUCAGGAGGAACACCGAUGGCGAAGGCAGGUCACUGGGCCGCAACUGACGCUGGAGGAGCGAAAGCAUGGGGAGCGAACAGG
rnacentral:rRNA from 1 species